rnacentral:rRNA from 1 species
AAUGAACGCUGGCGGCAGGCCUAAAACAUGCAAGUCGAACGAGAAGCAUCCUUCGGGAUGUGGACAGUGGCGCACGGGUGAGUAACAUGUGGGAAUAUGCCUCUUGGUACGGAACAACAGUUGGAAACGACUGCUAAUGCCGUAUAGUCCCUCCGGGGUAAAGAUUUAUCGCCAAGAGAUUAGCCCGCAUUAGAUUAGCUUGUUGGUGAGGUAAUGGCUCACCAAGGCGACGAUCUAUAGCUGGUCUGAGAGGACGAUCAGCCACACUGGGACUGAGACACGGCCCAG